rnacentral:piRNA from 1 species
UGUGUAAGAAAUGCAUUUAUGUCCAAGAG